rnacentral:rRNA from 1 species
GACGAACGCUGGCGGCGCGCUUAACACAUGCAAGUCGAACGGAAAGGCCUGCUUUCCCUUGUGGAUUGCGGGUACUCGAGUGGCGAACGGGUGAGUAACACGUGAGUGAUCUGCCCCCAACUUGGGUAUAAGCCUGGGAAACUGGGUCUAAUUCCCGAUAAGACUGCAGGGUGGUGCCUGUGGUGGAAAACGAUUUUCUAGUGGUUGGGGAUGAGCUCGCGGCCUAUCAGCUUGUUGGUGGGGUAAUGGCCUACCAAGGCGGCGACGGGUAGCCGGCCUGAGAGGGUGGACGGCCACAUUGGGACUGAGAUACGGCCCAGACUCCUACGGGAGGCAGCAGUGGGGAAUAUUGCACAAUGGGCGGAAGCCUGAUGCAGCGACGCCGCGUGGGGGAUGACGGCCUUCGGGUUGUAAACUCCUUUCGACCGCGAGGAAGCCACCUGGUUGGAAGGGUGGUGACGGUAGUGGUAGAAGAAGCACCGGCUAACUACGUG